rnacentral:rRNA from 1 species
GACGAACGCUGGCGGCGUGCUUAACACAUGCAAGUCGAACGGCAGGGCCCUGCUUUUGUGGGGUUCUCGAGUGGCGAAGGGGUGAGUACCACGUGAGUAACCUGCCCUUGACUUUGGGAUGACUUCCGGAAACUGGGGCUAAUACCGUAUCGGAGCUGCUGCUGCGUGGUGGGGGUUGGAAAGUUUCGGCGGUUGGGGAUGGACUCGCGGCUUAUCAGCUUGUUGGUGGGGUAGUGGCUUACCAAGGCAUUGACUGGUAGGCGGCCUGAGAGGUUGACCGGCGACAAUGGUACUGAGAGACGGCGCAGACUGCUACGGGAGGCAGCAGGGGGGAAUAUUGCACAAUGAGCGGGAGUCUGAUGCAGCAACGUCGCGUUUGGGAUGACGGCCUGCGGGUUGAAAACCGCUUUCGCCUGUGACGAAGCGUGAGUGACGGUAAUGGGUAAAGAAGCACCGGCUAACUACGUG